CAUUCACGGAGAGUUUGAUCCUGGCUCAGGACGAACGCU
rnacentral:rRNA from 1 species